UCAACAAGCAGCGUCGAGCAGAAGGUCAAAGGUCACCUCGGAGAGAUUCGCCCUGCUGGUUCUCAGUGCUCUGGCUGCUGCUGUCAUUGCUCUAUGUGUUACCAAUGGACCCUGUGAUAGAUGUGAAGCAGGCUAGGAGCAUCAUGGGGGAAAGUGCUAUCAUUUCUCCAUCAGUAAAAACACCUGGAACAAGAGCAGAGCUGAAUGUGGAGCUGAAGGAGGAGACCUGGUUAAGAUAGACAGCAGGGAGGAGCAGAAUGAGAGAAAUGAACAAAACUGAGGAGAAGUUCUGGAUUGGACUGAAAUACUCUGCAGAAGAAGACAGAUGGAUUUAGAUGGAUGGAUCACUGCUGAACAAAAGGCCAUCCAGUCAGCCAUUACCUCACGUUCCGGACUAGAGAGCGUCGGUACUACCCCCAAGCAGCAUCAAAUCGGCCUAUGCCCCUGCACCAAUCAGAAGACUCCGAAUCCGCUUCCUCAUCAGGCGGAUGUGCGAGGAGUGGAAGUCAGUUGGAGCUGUUCGCAGGGAUGAUCAGCAGACGU